rnacentral:rRNA from 1 species
UACGUAGGGUGCGAGCGUUAAUCGGAAUUACUGGGCGUAAAGCGUGCGCAGGCGGUUUUGUAAGCCAGAUGUGAAAUCCCCGGGCUUAACCUGGGAAUGGCAUUUGGGACUGCAAGGCUUGAGUGCGGCAGAGGAGACUGGAAUUCCUGGUGUAGCAGUGAAAUGCGUAGAUAAUCAGGAGGAACACCGAUGCGAAGGCAGGUCUCUGGGCUGACAC